CCCUAAGUUCCUAAUCAAAAACCCUAACCCUCCCCACUCGCCUCAACAACAGCCGUCAGCCACACUUCCCUUCCUUCCCCUAACGGUCAUACAACACACACAUAGCUGAGAGAGAAAGGCAGAAAUGGAAAGGGAGAAGAGAGAGAGCUCGGAAUCAGAGGAGAAGAGGGAGCCGUGGCCACGCAACCGCCGUCUUGUCGCCAACGCCGUUGCAGGAGAUGACCAGAGUUGAGGCAGGGAGCAGCGCCCAGAGGAGAGAGUGCCGCGAGCCAGGGUUGACGCGACGAAAAAGAGAAGCCCGCGACCAGCCUCGUCACCGUUAGCGCCACAGGUUGCCGUCGCCAUCCUCGCGAGCUGCCACCGCAUCGCCGUCGUGCCAUCCACCCACGCCGAGAAGGAAGAGAGAAACAGAGGAGAGUGGCAUCGCGUCUGCUGCGAGCUCGCCACGGAGGAAAGCCGCCGUCGCCGCUGGUCUGUAUUGGAGCCGCCGUCGAGUAGAACGCGAGGAAGAGGACUGUUGUGCACUCAGUCAUCGCUGCUACUUCCAAUCCCGCCGGCGAAGCUUCCGCCACUGCCAUAACCACCCUCGAGCUGCUGCGCUGCUGUUGAUCUAUUGAACCACCACCCGAGCUACUGUUGGCUUGCCGCUGCUGUUUGUUGGGUUCAAGAUUACUGCUGCUGUUCUUGCUCUGCUCUGUCUCUGCUUUUAGUUUUUGGAAUUUGACAAGAGUGCCACUGCCGCUGCUGGAGCUGCUGUCAGCUGAUGCUCUGGAUCCAUUCUGAAUCGUUAUCGUCGCUGUUUGGCUGAUGCUGAGGCCUUCCAUCAUCAAUGGAGCUUUCCAGAAUCAUCAUGGUAGCUGCCAAGAGAGCGGAAUGGGUGUUGGAACUGUCAAUGGAGCUGCUGUGUUUAGUAAUUUCUGCAAAUUUCGACACUCUGAGAUGCAGGUCGCAACCCACCUCAGUGAGUUGUCUGAUUGGUGACAGGAGCGGAGGAUCUGAACAUUCUUUUGGAGUCUUUUGAUUUAUUAUGUAUAUGUCUCUCACUUUUGUGCUUUGUUUUGCCUAGAGGCUUGUAUUUGAGAGAACAAAAAUUGUAUAGACUGUUUUACUGUCUGGUUUCACAUAUGGUCUGUAUAUGACUAGUCGGCUUAAACUCCAUGAGCUGUGGCUAGAUUCUUAUGAUAUUAUACUACUAUAUUUUGUUA